rnacentral:rRNA from 1 species
GACGAACGCUGGCGGCGUGCCUAAUACAUGCAAGUAGAACGAGCGGCGGACGGGUGCGUACUGGAUGGGGACCGCCCGAUAGCGGGGGAUAACUACUGGAAACGGUGGCUAAUACCGCACACUGUCGGAUAACCCAUAUGGGAUUAGCUAGUAGGUAAGGUAAUGGCUUACCUAGGCGACGAUCCCUAGCUGGUCUGAGAGGAUGAUCAGCCACACUGGGACUGAGACACGGCCCAGACUCCUACGGAGGCAGCAGUGGGGAAUAUUGGACAAUGGGCGCAAGCCUGAUGCAGCCAUGCCGCGUGUAUGAAGAAGGCCCUAGGGUUGUAAAGUACUUUCAGUAGGGAGGCGUUACCGACAGAAGAAGCACCGGCUAACUCCGUGCCAGCAGCCGCGGUAAUAC